GCCUUCGUGGUGUAGUGGUCUGCGCGCUGGUCUCUUAUUCCAGAGAUCCGUGGUUCGAAUCCCAGCGAAGGCG